UGUAGUUGGUCAUAAUUUUGAACUGCAACAUUGAGCGCUCACAAACAUGUUUAACCCUGUCAUACUUUUAAUUGAACCAGGUUUAGAGUUAGAUUUCCCCAAAUAUUUUGUCAUCUUAGCGGUUAAAAUUUAUCCAUUUCGAUCGCCUCUCAUUACCCCCACUCAAUCCUGCACGCGUAAACAUUUCGUAAACAUUUCACGUCUUAUAAUCGCCAGCAUUGAUAGCAAAAAGCAAUUGUCAUAUUCGAUGUUACGCUAUGAUGUUCUAAAUCAUGUGAUUUAAAUUAACCAAGAAGCACAUCUGUUUAAAUCUAUAAUCAAUGUUUUGACACCGUCCCC
rnacentral:lncRNA from 1 species